rnacentral:sRNA from 1 species
UGUAGGGUUCCCCUGGCUGCAGUGUGGAGGGUGGGCUGGAGGGAAAUCUUUGAGAAGGCUAUUGCGCUUGCGCAAGCAAGAGGUGUUGGUGGCUUGUCCUAGAAUUAUGGAUUUGGAGAGAAAAGCAUGGAGGAUGUCAACUGUCUUUUCAGCAUCUGACGACACCAAAAAGAAGAUGUACAGCUCCAUCCUAGUGGUGGGAGGUGGUUUGAUGUUUCAUAAAGCUCAAGAAUUUCUGCAGCACAGAAUUCUCAACAAAAUGCCACCAUCCUUCAGGCGAAUUAUUGAAAAUGUGGAUGUGAUCACAAGGCCUAAGGACAUGGACCCCCGGCUGAUUGCAUGGAAAGGAGGGGCAGUGUUGGCUUGUUUGGAUACAACACAGGAACUGUGGAUUUAUCAGCGAGAAUGGCAACGCUUUGGUGUCCGCAUGUUACGAGAGCGGGCUGCGUUUGUGUGGUGAAUGGGGAGGAAAUGUCACUGCCGAAGACCAAAAACAAGCUUCUUGGUAUAAAAGACUCUUACAGAAUAUAUGUAUUGUAAUUUAUUGACCUAGAUGCUUAAGUGUCAUGGACAGUAAAUGAAUUUGAACUUUAUGUUGAGGACAUGACAUUGGUUUGAAAUUAUAAACUGCUUUUGAGCAGUUUAGUCAGGGCAUUUGAGAAUAAAUAGGAACUUUCUCUUCA